AUAAGCGCCGGUAAGGUGAUAUGAACCGUUAUAACCGGCGAUACCCGAAUGGGGAAACCCAGUGUGAUUCGUCACACUAUCAUUAACUGAAUCCAUAGGUUAAUGAGGCGAACCGGGGGAACUGAAACAUCUAAGUACCCCGAGGAAAAGAAAUCAACCGAGAUUCCCCCAGUAGCGGCGAGCGAACGGGGAGGAGCCCAGAGCCUGAAUCAGCAUGUGUGUUAGUGGAAGCGUCUGGAAAGGCGCGCGAUACAGGGUGACAGCCCCGUACACAAAAGCGCAUGUGCUGUGAGCUCGAUGAGUAGGGCGGGACACGUGGUAUCCUGUCUGAAUAUGGGGGGACCAUCCUCCAAGGCUAAAUACUCCUGACUGACCGAUAGUGAACCAGUACCGUGAGGGAAAGGCGAAAAGAACCCCGGCGAGGGGAGUGAAAAAGAACCUGAAACCGUGUACGUACAAGCAGUGGGAGCACCCUUUGGGUGUGACUGCGUACCUUUUGUAUAAUGGGUCAGCGACUUAUAUUCUG
rnacentral:rRNA from 1 species